UUAAGAAGCCCUUUUAAUGAAAAAAUUUUUUUCUUUUAUGGUUUUUGCUUUUGUUUCUUAAGAUAACAUUGACUGCCAAGGCCAUGACAGUUUUCUUCUAGAUGUUUCCAGUUACAGUUUUACAUGUAAGUCUGUACUGCAAUUCAAUUUAAUUUUUCUUUAUGAUAGAGGUAAGGGUCAAGGGUAAUAUUUUUCACAUGGAUAUCAAUUUUUUAGCAUCACUUUUUGAAAAAACUAUCAAUUCUUUGAAUUGCCGUGAUCUAUAUAUGUUGAGACAGACCUAUUUAUAUAUUCUUAGGUCUUUCAUUUCAUUGAUUUUUAUGCCUAUAUUUUUAUGCCACUGUUUGAUUACUGUAGCUUUAUGGUACAUGUGCUAAGCAAGGUCCAUUUACGAGGCAGAAUCCAUACAGUAAUUUGAAGAAUGAAAUUUUAGUAUAAAGAAUUAGCUCUUGAGUCACCCCUGUGCAGCCUUGGUGCCUUGUGCAUUUUGGACACCCAGCCCAUCUUGCUCGUAGCCUUUUCCUUUCAAGAUUUAGCUUGUAAGCCUUUUCCUUUCAAGAUGUCUGAGGAGGUGUACCAUCGAGAAGGGGAGGUGGCGACUUUUGCCUUUUAGGCAGAAAUUGCCCAACUCAUGUCUCUCAUAAUCAAUACCUUCUAUUCCAACAAGGAGAUUUUCCUUCAGGAGUUGAUGUCUAAUGCUUCUGAUGGCUUAGACAAGAUUUGCUAUGAGAGCCUGACAGACCCUUCCAAGUUGGACGGUGGUAAAGAACUGAAAAUUGACAUCAUCCCCAACCCUCAGGAAUGCAUCCUGACUUUGGUCGACACAGGCAUUGGCAUGACCAAGGCUGAUCUCAUAAAUAAUUUGGGAGCCAUUGCCAAGUCUGGUACUAAAGCAUUUAUCGAGGCUUUUCAGUCUGAUGCAGAAAUCUCCAUGAUUGGGCAAUUUGGUGUUGGCUUUUAUUCUGCCUACUUGGUGGCAGAGAAAGUAGCCAUCACAAAGCACAAUGACGAAGAACAGUAUUCCUGGGCAUCUUCUGCUGGGAGUUCCUUCACUUUACGUGUUGACCAUGGUGAGCCCAUUGACAGGGAUACCAAAGUGAUCCUUCACCUUAAAGAAGAUCAGACAGAGUACUUAGAAGAGAGGUGGGCCAAAGAAGUAGUGAAGAAGCACUCUCAGUUCAUAGGCUGUCUUAUCGCCGUUUAUUUGGAGAAGGAACCAGAGAAGGAAAUCAGUGAUGAUGAGGAAGAGAAAGGUGAGAAAGAAGAGGAAGAUAAAGAUGACGAAGAAAAGCCCAAGAUUGAAGAUGUGGGUUCCGAUGCGGAGGAUGACACUGAUAAGAAUAAGAAGAAGAAAACAAAGAAGAUCAAGGAGAAAUACACUGAUCAGGAAGAACUAAACCAGACCAAGCCUAUUUGGACCAGAAACCCUGAUGACAUCACCCAGGAAGAGUAUGGAGAAUUCUACAAGAACCUCACCAGUGCCUGGGAAGACCACUUGGCAGUCAGGCAAUUCCCUGUAGAAGGUCAGUUGGAAUUCAGGGCAUUGCUAUUCAUCCCUCAUCAGGCUCCCUUUGAGAACAAGAGGAAAAUGAACAACUCUGUGUCCAUCAUGUGUUGAUCAUGGACAGCUUUGAUGAUUUGAUGCCAGAGUAUCUCGGCUUUAUCUGUGGUAUGGUUGACUCUAAGGAUCUUUCCCCAAACAUCUCCUGGGAAAUGCUCCAGCAGAGCAAAAUCUUGGAAGUCAUUUGCAAAAACAUUGUUAAGAAAUGCCGUGGCUUGAGCUUCUCUGGGCUGGCAGAAGACAAGGAGAAUAACAAGAAAUUAGAUGAGGCAUUCUCUAAAAUCUCAUGGCUUGGAAUCCAUGAGGACUCUAUUAACUAGCGACACCUGUCUGAACUGCUGUGGUCUCACACUUUCCAGUCUGGAGAUGAGAUGACAUCUCUGUCAGAGUAUGUGUCUUGCAUGAAGGAGGCACAGAAGUCCAUCUGUGACAUCAUCGGUGAGUGCAAAGAGUAGGUAGCCAACUCUGCUUUUAUGGAGCAAGUCUGGAAGAAGGGCUUCGAGGCAGUAUAUAUGAGUGAGCCCAUUGAUGAGUACUGUGUGCAGCAGCUCAAGGAAUUUGAUGGGAAGGGCCUGGUCUCAGUUACCAAGGAGGGUCUGGAGCUACCUGACGAUGAGGAGGAGAAGAAGAUAAUAGAGGAGAGCAAGGUAAAGUUUGAGAACCUCUGCAGGCUCAUGAAAGAAAUCUUAGAUAAGAAGGUUGAGAAGGUGACAAUCUUGUGUCUUCACCCAGCUGCAUUGUGACCAGCACCUACAGCUAGAUAGCCAAUAUGAAGUGGAUCAUGAAAGCGCAGGCAUUUUGGGACAACUCUAUGAUGGGUUAUAUGAUGGCUAAAAAGCACCUGGAGAUCAACCCCAACCACGCCAUUAUGGAGACACUACAGCAGAAGGCUGAGGCAGACAAGAACAACAAGGCUGUCAGUGACCUAGUGGUGCUGCUGUUUGAAACCACACUGCUCUCUUCUGGCUUCUCCCUUUGAGGAUCCUCAGACCUAUCCAGCUGCAUCUACCACAUGAUCAAGCUAGGUUAGCUAUUGAUGAAGAUGAAGUGGCAACAGAGGAACUCAGUGCUGCUGUUCCUGAUGAGAUCCAGCUCUGCUGGGGGCGAUGAGGAUGUGUCUCACAUGGAACAAGUAAAUUAA